AGAAGACAGAGAAGGGGAGAGAAAGAUAAACACCUGCAGACCUGCUUCACCGCUUGUGAAGCAACGCUCCAGUAGAAGGAGAGAUGGAAGAAGGGAAAGACAGACAGAGAAGGAGAGACAGCACAUUACUGAUCCUCCUGCAGGGCGUGGAACAUGACUUCUUACACAUGGCAAGUGUUUAUCUUAACAAGGAAGGAAUUGUGUCUCCAGGGCAGGUGAUGGUGCACCGGGUUGAGUAUACAUGCUACAGUGCACAAGGACCCAGGUUCAAGCCCCUGGCCUCCCCACCUGCAGGAGGAAAGCUUCACAAGCAGCGAAGCAGGGCUGCAGGUAUCUCUCUGUCUCUUUCCCUCUCUCUCCUCCUCCCCUCUCAAUUUCUCUUUGUCUUAUCCAAUAACAAAUAAAUAAAUUUAAU